ACGCAGAUUUUUAUGCGGUUGAAAAAAUACUUUUCACUUUUUCACUGGUCCCGAGAAAACACACGCGUCAAAAAUCACAAGCGUUGUCGAUCCACACCGAACGGAAGUCAAACCCGAAGUCUAUUUUAACGCGAGCUGAUUGCACACUGAAACUAAUGUUGGAGUAAAUACAACCGCUGCAUAGUUCUUAAAAUUACUAUUCAGGAUUAUGUUAAAAUUUAACGUGUUUGUCUUUACAAAUACUGCAAUAUUGUUAAAAUUACUAUGCCAUCAAUCGAUAAAUUUUACUAUCAUGAGAAGUCAAGAGCACUGUUGCCCUGCAUUGAAGAUAAAUACAAGAUCGGUAAUUUUUAAUGAACAAUGUUGUCAUUUUUACUAUGUGCAUGGUAAUUUUAACAACAAAACGUAGUAAUAAUGACCCCACCAACUUGGAUGUUUUUCUCCGUCAACUUGUAAAGGAUUAACAUCAGCGCGAAUAUAAAAGACUUUUGUUUUGUGUUUUGGACGUAAUAUUAAGCAAUGUUUUUAUAGUAACUAUUCUACCCAUGCUGCUAUUAAUCCAGAAUUUCCAGAAUUGAUUGCAUCGUGCAAUUUCCAGACCCAAAUAAGUGAUCCAAAAUAUAAUUUAAGACUACUUCAUUCUACUUUUAUUGAAAAUUUGAGCGAUGGUGAGCAGAUUCUGCAUGUGCCGCCAUGUUCCAUCAGAGAUCAAUGAAGGCAAAUACGGACAUAAAGUCCUCUGCAUGACUCCACUACGAUCGCCGUUUUUGAAAUCCAAAAAUCCUGUUUUUAAUGGACUAGAAAACACAAUACAUUAUCAGAGAAUUUAUUCUUCAAUAAAUAAUUACGAUUGAUGGAA